rnacentral:lncRNA from 1 species
UCUAGCUCUAAAUUAAUGACUUUUUUCCUACAUGUCUAUAUCCCUUCUUCUUGGAGUUAAGGUAUUGUGUAGAGAAGGGUUGUGGUUAAUUGAAAUAUACUGAAAAAAAGUCAUCAACACAAAAAAGGUUUUCAUUUCCCAGGCAACAAUCAAGAUUCUAAGAACUUCACAAAGGAUGGAUAAAUAAACGGAGGAGUGGAGGAUGAGAAGAUAAAGAGAGUAAGUUUCCCAGGUUGUAGAUAUUGAGCAAAAACUUAAGAUCCCUGAGCAUUUGCCAAAAGAAGAUAGAAUAUUUGUUUCAGAGAUGGAAGAAUAUUAAGAUGGAAAUUAGGAAGUAGGAAAACAUUGGAGACACAUCUCCUCAAUUCUCCAUAAUUGCUGGGAUAGGAGUGUAUUGCUCCAAUCUUGUUGCUGUAUUUAUAGCUCUAUAAAGUGAAUCAUAAGCCAAGGGUUUUGAUGAACUGAUCCUUUAAGGCAUGGAAUUCAGAUGCUAACUUCUGUCAGAUAUGUAGCACUCUAUGGAUUUUACUCCCUCAUUUCACUCCUAAGCUGGGGAAAUAACUACAAUCCCAGCAGGGUAUAUAUGGGAAUGGAGUAACUGUUAUUUUCUCUCCCUGUGUUCUGCCUUCAUGCAAAAGUUGUUCUUAGAAGAUGGAGGUAUUCCUCACAAUACCGCCAUCCCGUAGCCCAUUGCACCCAACUUCUCAUCUGAGAUACCUGGCCAUAGUGAAUGCACGGAAAUGCCCUACAGACAUCUUCAAGUCUCCUAUGCUAUUAAGCAAAAGGAUAUUGAAAUGAAUCCUGCAUCCUGAGUGGAAAGUCAAAUGUUCUUCUUGAAAUCAGUCUUUGCAAGAUGAUGAUGAAAGAAAGAUAAACCUGUCACUACUAAACUCUGUUUCUAUUUCAUUCUGAAAAUAAAAUAUUACCAUCACCUCCUAAGAAGAAAACU